AAAAACAUGUAGACACAUAAAAUCAACAUACAUGUACAUUUAAUGGUGACACCAUAUACAAUAACGGAUAGUUAUAUGGCAUACAAAUGCGGGCACACCAAAAUAUUGUUGUAGCUAAGGUUAUCCGGCAAUCAGCAGAUGCAGACCUAACUUUCUAUGAACAGUAUUAAGCCGUAUUGAUCGUUUAACAGAUAAAUUUUUGGUGAGCAUCUUUCAAGCCUCUUUUCAAGCCUCUUUUCAAGAAUUAGGUUUUUCUUUUUGGUCACAAAGAUUAUUAGGUUAAUAUCGAUAUCUUUUCAAACUUUGCUAACAUGUAUGAAACCUUCAAAUAAAAAUACAAACAUUUUGUGUUUUUAAACUUAUAGAACAUUUUACAUAGCUUCAUGUCAUCCAUUACCAUCAUUAUCAUCAUCAGAACUCAUAUGCAGUCGGCUGUACUCGAACUCUUGCCUCGUGACAACACUCGCACCAGUAAACUUUUUUGAAAAACUCAAUUUUGUGCUUUGAUAAAACAAAUACAAAAACAUACUAUAUGGUCCUAUGAGAUAUUUGGCAUAUUAUAUGGUCCUAUGAGAUAUUUGGGAAUUCACGAAAACUAAAGUAAAUGCGAGGAAAUACACCAAAGAGAACUAAUACUUUCACUUGCAAUUUUAUUCAGAAUAAAACAUGUUCUGGUAAAAGACAAGACACAAUCUGAAAACCAAACCUCUAAU